AUUGAACGCUAGCGGCAUGCCUAACACAUGCAAGUCGAACGAGUGGCGGACGGGUGAGUAAUAUAUGGGAAAGUGCCCAGUGGCGGGGGAUAACUACUCGAAACGGUAGCUAAUACCGCAUACCAUCGGAUGUACCCAUAUGGGAUUAGCUAGUAGGUGGGGUAACGGCUCACCUAGGCGACGAUCCCUAGCUGGUCUGAGAGGAUGAUCAGCCACACUGGGACUGAGACACGGCCCAGACUCCUACGGGAGGCAGCAGUGGGGAAUAUUGCACAAUGGGCGCAAGCCUGAUGCAGCCAUGCCGCGUGUAUGAAGAAGGCCCUAGGGUUGUAAAGUACUUUCAGCCGGGAGGCGUUACCGGCAGAAGAAGCACCGGCUAACUCCGUGCCAGCAGCCGCGGUAAUAC
rnacentral:rRNA from 1 species